rfam:Ictidomys tridecemlineatus contig055110, whole genome shotgun sequence.
GGGGAUAUAGUUCAGUUGGUAGAGUGUUUGCUUGCCUCACAUGCACAAGGCCCUGGGUUCAACCCCCAGUACCACCA